rnacentral:rRNA from 1 species
GACGAACGCUGGCGGCGUGCUUAACACAUGCAAGUCGAACGGAAAGGCCCUGCUUUUGUGGGGUGCUCGAGUGGCGAACGGGUGAGUAACACGUGAGUAACCUGCCCUUGACUUUGGGAUAACUUCAGGAAACUGGGGCUAAUACCGGAUAGGAGCUCCUGCUGCAUGGUGGGGGUUGGAAAGUUUCGGCGGUUGGGGAUGGACUCGCGGCUUAUCAGCUUGUUGGUGGGGUAGUGGCUUACCAAGGCUUUGACGGGUAGCCGGCCUGAGAGGGUGACCGGCCACAUUGGGACUGAGAUACGGACCAGACUCCUACGGGAGGCAGCAGUGGGGAAUAUUGCACAAUGGGCGGAAGCCUGAUGCAGCAACGCCGCGUGCGGGAUGACGGCUUUCGGGUUGUAAACCGCUGUCGCCUGUGACGAAGCGUGAGUGACGGUAAUGGGUAAAGAAGCACCGGCUAACUACGUG